rnacentral:rRNA from 1 species
UGGGAAUUUGGACAAUGGGCGAAAGCCUGAUCCAGCAAUGCCGCGUGUGUGAAGAAGGCCUUCGGGUUGUAAAGCACUUUUGUCCGGAAAGAAAUCCUUGGCUCUAAUACAGUCGGGGGAUGACGGUACCGGAAGAAUAAGCACCGGCUAACUACGUGCCAGCAGCCGCGGUAAUACGUAGGGUGCAAGCGUUAAUCGGAAUUACUGGGCGUAAAGCGUGCGCAGGCGGUUUGCUAAGACCGAUGUGAAAUCCCCGGGCUCAACCUGGGAACUGCAUUGGUGACUGGCAGGCUAGAGUAUGGCAGAGGGGGGUAGAAUUCCACGUGUAGCAGUGAAAUGCGUAGAGAUGUGGAGGAAUACCGAUGGCGAAGGCAGCCCCCUGGGCCAAUACUGACGCUCAUGCACGAAAGCGUGGGGAGCAAACAGGAUUAGAUACCCUGGUAGUCCACGCCCUAAACGAUGUCAACUAGUUGUUGGGGAUUCAUUUCCUUAGUAACGUAGCUAACGCGUGAAGUUGACCGCCUGGGGAGUACGGUCGCAAGAUUAAAACUUAAAGGAAUUGACGGGGUCAUAGCUGUUUCCU